rnacentral:rRNA from 1 species
AGUGAACGCUGGCGGUAGGCCUAACACAUGCAAGUCGAACGGCAGCACAGUAAGAGCUUGCUCUUACGGGUGGCGAGUGGCGGACGGGUGAGGAAUACAUCGGAAUCUACUUUUUCGUGGGGGAUAACGUAGGGAAACUUACGCUAAUACCGCAUACGACCUACGGGUGAAAGCAGGGGAUCUUCGGACCUUGCGCGAUUGAAUGAGCCGAUGUAGGCUUAGAUAGUUGGCGGGGUAAAGGCCCACCAAGGCGGCGAUCCGUAGCUGGUCUGAGAGCAUGAACAGCCAGACUGGAAGUGAGACAGGGUCGAGACUCCGACGGGAAGCAGCAGUGGGGAAUAUUGGACGAUGGAGGAAAGGCUGAUCCAGCAAUACCGCGUGAGUGAAGAAGGCGUGAGGGUUGUAGAGCCAUUUUGUUGGGAGAGAAAAGCAGCAGGAUAAGACGCCGCGGUACUGACGGUACCCAACGAAGAAGCACCGGCUAACUUCGUG